CAGCCGCCGCGGUAAUACCGGCGGCCCGAGUGGUGGCCGCUAUUAUUGGGCCUAAAGCGUCCGUAGCCGGGCCCGUAAGUCCCUGGCGAAAUCCCACGGCUCAACCGUGGGGCUUGCUGGGGAUACUGCGGGCCUUGGGACCGGGAGAGGCGGGGGGGACCCCUGGGGGAGGGGGGGAAUCCUAUAAUCCCGGGGGGCCCGCCAGUGGCGAAGGCGCCCCGCUGGAACGGGUCCGACGGUGAGGGACGAAGGCCAGGGGAGCAAACCGGAUUAGAUACCCGGGUAGUCCUGGCUGUAAAGGAUGCGGGCUAGGUGUCGGGUGAGCUGCGGGCUCGCCCGGUGCCGUAGGGAAGCCGUUAAGCCCGCCGCCUGGGGAGUACGGCCGCAAGGCUGAAACUUAAAGGAAUUGGCGGG
rnacentral:rRNA from 1 species